CUUGAUUCCUCAUUUUUAUUUUUUUGCCUCUUUUCUAAGAUUGUAGGGAAUUGAGUUUUAUAAGAUUUGGUGUAACUAUUUGACUUACCUGGAUAUAAGCUGAUCUGCUUUGGGCCCCAUAUAAUUGCAUGUGACACCAAAUGGGAAAAGAGGAUGAAUAUUCUCCUUCCCCUCCCUUGGCGUGAAACUCAGCAGAAUUUUGACACUGUGACAGAAUUUUGGCACUGUGACAGAAUUUUGACAUUGUGACAGAAUUUUGACAUUGUGAUGACGGAGUCCAGGCAGGUCACAGGUGCUGCACUUGAAUGGGGGAUAAUUGAUAAGUGUGAAUGAGAGGAGUAGCAGGAAGAGGAUGAUUUGCCAUUUUGCAAAAAGGCAUUAACUAGAGAAACUGGGACCAGAUUUACCCUUUUAUCUGGAACAACUGCAAACACUUAAAGGCAAACAGUAUGAAAACAACAGUUUAAGGCACAAGCCAUCCAACAAUGAAGGAUGAUGAAUCCUGAGAGACUGGAAAUGAAGGAUCUGAACUAUUUGAUUUCCCAAACUCACUGCCUUCAGAGUUUUCAGGCUGCAGCACAAAGAAGGGGGAACCCAGGCAGAGCCCAGUGGAUUCCCUGAGAGGAGUCACAGAGGGAUCCUAGUGAAGAGGAUUAUAACUUUGCCUGUUUUGUGAUGCGGAGGUGAUGUCAUGUUGUUCUACCAUUUUAUCAUUGUUCCUUCUGAGCCUGAGUGUUCUUUCUCUUGAAGAUUCAAGUGAACCAGGGAAGGAGAAUGACAUCAGACUGGGCUUGUGCCUGAUAAUUCAUUUCUGAAGGUGCAAUAUUAAGUGUCACAGUGUCCAGCUGGUGAUAUUUUCAGCAUAGAAACCUGUUAGACACGGCAGCAUUAAGGAGAUGGAAUGAAUUGAUUUAUUUCUCUUCUGAAUUGCUUGGCAGUGCUUCAAGAUUGACGCAUCAGAUUUGCACAAUGUGCCACUUUAGGAGAUUAUUUCUUCCUUCCUUCAGCCAGACAGAAGACUGCAGUAGGGAUAUGGUUCCUGUUUGCCUAUUUCCAUCCACAACUCUGCCAGAGACGAAAGCAGUGUUUGAAACAAUUCACCAAGAUUUCCAUCUGGAAUCAUCAAGAAUGGAAUUGAUCAAAUUCCUUAAGAAAUUUACUUAAAGUCAUGAUUUUGACAGCCUAGUGCUACCUGGAAAAGGGACAGCAGCAGCCUGGAGCAGUUUUCUAGCUAACAAGAAUUUUGUUAGCUAUGUGGCCACCUAGUGGCUCUUCCAUGGAUGUCGCUGAUGCAUUGUCAGGGCAAUAACAGAGAAAUAGAGGCCACCAUCUGUGUGAAUACUUCACUGUGAUUAUCUCUCACCAUCAUCAAAUAGUUCAGAGCACUGAUCCUCACGAGUUGGACAUUUCCCCAUGAAACAGUAGCCUUCUGAGUUCUUGCAAGGAAAUCCAUUGACCCUGAACUGGUCCUUAGGACAGGCAGGCGAGUGGCCAGUGCACAUCUCAGGAAAAUCACAUUCAUCUUUCGCCGGUCUGCAUAUGGACCCUGCUUUUUUUAUCUGUUGAGGAAAAACAAAGAGACUAAAUCCUGGAUACAUUUAGGGUCAUACUGCUUCCCUGUACUGAAGUGUGAUGUGAGACUAUUCAACUGCUGAAGAUCUGAUUUUACCUUUUGCUCAAGCUGUCCAUUAUUUCAGGCUGACUUUUAUUUUUUAAUGUAUCAUUAAAUAACAUCAAAAUGGUAACUUAUGCCCUAUUUUCUCAAACAAAAUAAAAACUCAAAGAAAAUGGAGUGUGGCCG
rnacentral:lncRNA from 1 species